UUCAGCACCAUGACGGUCUGCCUUGAAGCCAGCUCGCUGGUGAGGCAGACCUGAAGAUUUCAGCGUGCA
rfam:Colinus virginianus strain Texas jcf7180006225887, whole genome shotgun sequence.